UCAGUCGACUCCUACGGGGAGGCAGCAGUGGGGAAUAUUGCACAAUGGGGGAAACCCUGAUGCAGCCAUGCCGCGUGUGUGAAGAAGGCCUUCGGGUUGUAAAGCACUUUCAGUAGGGAGGAAGGUAGUGUAGUUAACACCUGCACUAUUUGACGUUACCUACAGAAGAAGCACCGGCUAACUCCGUGCCAGCAGCCUCGGUAAUACGGAGGGUGCGAGCGUUAAUCGGAAUUACUGGGCGUAAAGCGCAUGCAGGCGGCCUGUUAAGUCAGAUGUGAAAGCCCGGGGCUUAACCUCGGAAUUGCAUUUGAAACUGGCAGGCUAGAGUCUUGUAGAGGGGGGUAGGAAUUUCAGGUGUAGCGGUGAAAUGCGUAGAGAUCUGAAGGAAUACCAGUGGCGAAGGCGGCCCCCUGGACAAAGACUGACGCUCAGAUGCGAAAGCGUGGGGAGCAAACAGGAUUAGAUACCCUGGUAG
rnacentral:rRNA from 1 species